AAAGAUAUCUGGUUGAUCCUGCCUGAACUGAUGUGUUUAUUUCAAAGAUUAAGCCAUGCAUGUAUAAGUUUAAUCGUUUAUCGAGAAACCGCGUACGGCUCAUUAGAA
rnacentral:rRNA from 2 species